GAUGAAGAACGCAGCGAAAUGCGAUACGUAAUGUGAAUUGCAGAAUUCAGUGAAUCAUCGAAUCUUUGAACGCAUAUUGCGCUCUCUGGUAUUCCGGAGAGCAUGCUUGUUUGAGUAUCAGUAAACACCUCAACUUCCAUAUCUUUUUUGAAAUGGGAGUUGGACUUGAGUGAUCCCAACGCUUUUCCUCACCGAAAAGUGGCGGGUUACUUGAAAUGCAGGUGCAGCUGGACUUUUCUCUGAGCUAUAAGCAUAUCUAUUUAGUCUGCCUAAAAAACAGAUUAUUCCCUUUGCUGCAGCUAACAUAAAGGAGAUUAGUUCUUGUGCUGACUGAUGCAGGAUUCACAAAGACAGGCUUCGGCCGACUUUGUAAACUCGAUCUCAAAUCAAGUAAGACUACCCGCUGAACUUAAGCAUAUCAAUAAGCGGAGGA
rnacentral:misc_RNA from 1 species